GGUUAAGCGACUAAGCGUACACGGUGGAUGCCCUGGCAGUCAGAGGCGAUGAAGGACGUGCUAAUCUGCGAUAAGCGUCGGUAAGGUGAUAUGAACCGUUAUAACCGGCGAUUUCCGAAUGGGGAAACCCAGUGUGNNNNNNNNNNNNNNNNNNNNNNNNNNNNNNNNNNNNNNNNNNNNNNNNNNNNNNNNNNNNNNNNNNNNNNNNNNNNNNNNNNNNNNNNNNNNNNNNNNNNNNNNNNNNNNNNNNNNNNNNNNNNNNNNNNNNNNNNNCUGUGAGCUCGAUGAGUAGGGCGGGACACGUGGUAUCCUGUCUGAAUAUGGGGGGACCAUCCUCCAAGGCUAAAUACUCCUGACUGACCGAUAGUGAACCAGUACCGUGAGGGAAAGGCGAAAAGAACCCCGGCGAGGGGAGUGAAAAAGAACCUGAAACCGUGUACGUACAAGCAGUGGGAGCCUCUUUUAUGGGGUGACUGCGUACCUUUUGUAUAAUGGGUCAGCGACUUAUAUUCUGUAGCAAGGUUAACCGAAUAGGGGAGCCGAAGGGAAACCGAGUCUUAACUGGGCGUUAAGUUGCAGGGUAUAGACCCGAAACCCGGUGAUCUAGCCAUGGGCAGGUUGAAGGUUGGGUAACACUAACUGGAGGACCGAACCGACUAAUGUUGAAAAAUUAGCGGAUGACUUGUGGCUGGGGGUGAAAGGCCAAUCAAACCGGGAGAUAGCUGGUUCUCCCCGAAAGCUAUUUAGGUAGCGCCUCGUGAAUUCAUCUCCGGGGGUAGAGCACUGUUUCGGCAAGGGGGUCAUCCCGACUUACCAACCCGAUGCAAACUGCGAAUACCGGAGAAUGUUAUCACGGGAGACACACGGCGGGUGCUAACGUCCGUCGUGAAGAGGGAAACAACCCAGACCGCCAGCUAAGGUCCCAAAGUCAUGGUUAAGUGGGAAACGAUGUGGGAAGGCCCAGACAGCCAGGAUGUUGGCUUAGAAGCAGCCAUCAUUUAAAGAAAGCGUAAUAGCUCACUGGUCGAGUCGGCCUGCGCGGAAGAUGUAACGGGGCUAAACCAUGCACCGAAGCUGCGGCAGCGACGCUUAUGCGUUGUUGGGUAGGGGAGCGUUCUGUAAGCCUGCGAAGGUGUGCUGUGAGGCAUGCUGGAGGUAUCAGAAGUGCGAAUGCUGACAUAAGUAACGAUAAAGCGGGUGAAAAGCCCGCUCGCCGGAAGACCAAGGGUUCCUGUCCAACGUUAAUCGGGGCAGGGUGAGUCGACCCCUAAGGCGAGGCCGAAAGGCGUAGUCGAUGGGAAACAGGUUAAUAUUCCUGUACUUGGUGUUACUGCGAAGGGGGGACGGAGAAGGCUAUGUUGGCCGGGCGACGGUUGUCCCGGUUUAAGCGUGUAGGCUGGUUUUCCAGGCAAAUCCGGAAAAUCAAGGCUGAGGCGUGAUGACGAGGCACUACGGUGCUGAAGCAACAAAUGCCCUGCUUCCAGGAAAAGCCUCUAAGCAUCAGGUAACAUCAAAUCGUACCCCAAACCGACACAGGUGGUCAGGUAGAGAAUACCAAGGCGCUUGAGAGAACUCGGGUGAAGGAACUAGGCAAAAUGGUGCCGUAACUUCGGGAGAAGGCACGCUGAUAUGUAGGUGAAGUCCCUCGCGGAUGGAGCUGAAAUCAGUCGAAGAUACCAGCUGGCUGCAACUGUUUAUUAAAAACACAGCACUGUGCAAACACGAAAGUGGACGUAUACGGUGUGACGCCUGCCCGGUGCCGGAAGGUUAAUUGAUGGGGUCAGCGCAAGCGAAGCUCUUGAUCGAAGCCCCGGUAAACGGCGGCCGUAACUAUAACGGUCCUAAGGUAGCGAAAUUCCUUGUCGGGUAAGUUCCGACCUGCACGAAUGGCGUAAUGAUGGCCAGGCUGUCUCCACCCGAGACUCAGUGAAAUUGAACUCGCUGUGAAGAUGCAGUGUACCCGCGGCAAGACGGAAAGACCCCGUGAACCUUUACUAUAGCUUGACACUGAACAUUGAGCCUUGAUGUGUAGGAUAGGUGGGAGGCUUUGAAGUGUGGACGCCAGUCUGCAUGGAGCCGACCUUGAAAUACCACCCUUUAAUGUUUGAUGUUCUAACGUUGACCCGUAAUCCGGGUUGCGGACAGUGUCUGGUGGGUAGUUUGACUGGGGCGGUCUCCUCCUAAAGAGUAACGGAGGAGCACGAAGGUUGGCUAAUCCUGGUCGGACAUCAGGAGGUUAGUGCAAUGGCAUAAGCCAGCUUGACUGCGAGCGUGACGGCGCGAGCAGGUGCGAAAGCAGGUCAUAGUGAUCCGGUGGUUCUGAAUGGAAGGGCCAUCGCUCAACGGAUAAAAGGUACUCCGGGGAUAACAGGCUGAUACCGCCCAAGAGUUCAUAUCGACGGCGGUGUUUGGCACCUCGAUGUCGGCUCAUCACAUCCUGGGGCUGAAGUAGGUCCCAAGGGUAUGGCUGUUCGCCAUUUAAAGUGGUACGCGAGCUGGGUUUAGAACGUCGUGAGACAGUUCGGUCCCUAUCUGCCGUGGGCGCUGGAGAACUGAGGGGGGCUGCUCCUAGUACGAGAGGACCGGAGUGGACGCAUCACUGGUGUUCGGGUUGUCAUGCCAAUGGCACUGCCCGGUAGCUAAAUGCGGAAGAGAUAAGUGCUGAAAGCAUCUAAGCACGAAACUUGCCCCGAGAUGAGUUCUCCCUGACUCCUUGAGAGUCCUGAAGGAACGUUGAAGACGACGACGUUGAUAGGCCGGGUGUGUAAGCGCAGCGAUGCGUUGAGCUAACCGGUACUAAUGAACCGUGAGGCUUAACCUU
rnacentral:rRNA from 1 species